rnacentral:lncRNA from 1 species
AACAGCACAUUGAUAAAGCAAUAUUAAUCUUUACGCUACUGCUCAAUGUGCUGUUCAUUUAUUAUUUAGUUAUAUAAGUGAAAUGCAAGUAAACAGUAAUUAUAUGAUUUUGUCAAGCCAAUGCAGUCUGUUGAGGAUUGGACUAUAUUUUAAUCAGUUGAAAAAGUUUAUCAAUGUACAAGCAUUGUAUGAGUUUUUAACACAAUGCAAAUUGAACAAGGUCUUACCCAUGUCAUUUUUUAGAAUACGACUUCUGGUUCAUAAUUCUUAUACAACAAACAAAAAUAAGAUGUCUCAGAUAUGGUAUAAUGGAUACAAGGAGGAGAUAUAUUGAUUAACUGCCUAUUCUGUAACAUCUAUAGGACACUAAUUGACCAAAGUUGACCACAAACUGAUAUCAAUGAAGUACAUUAUAAAAUUAAUAGAUAUAAAGGAGUUAUGAGAAAAGUUCACAUCAAAAAGUUUUAAUGAUUGCUUAAAAAACAAGCGUCCAGAAAAUGAGUAAAAAGUCUUCCUUUGGACAGUGUCCUAACAAUAAUAGGGAAUAUUCAACUCCCAAAUUAUGUACAGGACUUAUUUACAAGAGAUCCCACAUCUAUGGUUCUUCAUGAUAGAACACCUGAGGAUGAAGUACCAGUCAUAGAAAACUUAAUCACAAUAUUAGACCCAGAAGAUAGAGAUCAUAAAAGAUGGAAAUAUAUCAUGGCCCAUACAAGGUGUCAUUAAUUAUGAAAAUAUCAAGAAUAAUGGAAAAUAUGACUCAAACUAGUAGCAACAAGAUAGUGAUUAAAAGACAAUAACCUCAAAUAUACAAAAGAUGAUGAGACAAACAAAUUUGUUAUUUUUCCUAAUGAUAUAUAUGACAUAAUGUUGAUGGACUACAUCAAUACAUCUAAUACAAAUCUUUUACCUGUAGAUUCAACUCAUAAUAUAACUAAUACUAUAGAGCAGGGGUCUCCAAACUACGGCCCGCAGGCCAGAUGCGGCCCGCGGACAGAUUUUGUCCGGCCCGCCAAAUGAAC